rnacentral:rRNA from 1 species
UACGAAGGGGGCUAGCGUUGCUCGGAAUCACUGGGCGUAAAGGGUGCGUAGGCGGGUUUUUAAGUCAGAGGUGAAAUCCUGGAGCUCAACUCCAGAACUGCCUUUGAUACUGAAAGUCUUGAGUAUGGGAGAGGUGAGUGGAACUGCGAGUGCAGAGGUGAAAUUCGUAGAUAUUCGCAAGAACACCAGUGGCGAAGGCGGCUCACUGGCCCAUAACUGACGCUGAGGCACGAAAGCGUGGGGAGCAAACAGG